rnacentral:rRNA from 1 species
UACGUAGGGGGCAAGCGUUAUCCGGAUUUACUGGGUGUAAAGGGAGCGUAGGCGGUUCAGCAAGUCAGAAGUGAAAGCCCGGGGCUCAACUCCGGGACUGCUUUUGAAACUGUUGAACUAGAUUGCAGGAGAGGUAAGUGGAAUUCCUAGUGUAGCGGUGAAAUGCGUAGAUAUUAGGAGGAACACCAGUGGCGAAGGCGGCCUACUGGACGGUGACUGACGCUGAGGCUCGAAAGCGUGGGGAGCAAACAGG